rnacentral:rRNA from 1 species
AGAACGAACGCUGGCGGCAGGCUUAACACAUGCAAGUCGAGCGCCCCGCAAGGGGAGCGGCAGACGGGUGAGUAACGCGUGGGAACAUACCCUCCGGUUCGGAAUAGCUCAGGGAAACUUGGAUUAAUACCGGAUACGGCCUAGCGGCGAAAGAUUCAUCGCCGGAGGAUUGGCCCGCGUUCGAUUAGCUAGUUGGUGAGGUAACGGCUCACCAAGGCGACGAUCGAUAGCUGGUCUGAGAGGAUGAUCAGCCACAUUGGGACUGAGACACGGCCCAAACUCCUACGGGAGGCAGCAGUGGGGAAUAUUGGACAAUGGGCGCAAGCCUGAUCCAGCCAUGCCGCGUGAGUGAUGACGGCCUUAGGGUUGUAAAGCUCUUUCGCUAGGGACGAUAUGACGGUACCUAGACAAGAAGCCCCGGCUAACUUCGUGCCAGCGAGCCGC